rnacentral:RNase_P_RNA from 3 species
CGAGUCGGCGGGGCGGCCGCGUCGGCGGGAGCUACUCCCGCCGCCGAGGAAAGUCCGGACUCCACAGGGCAGGGUGGUUGUUAACGGCAACCCGGGGCGACCCGCGGGACAGUGCCACAGAGAACAGACCGCCCGGUCGCGACAGCGACCGGGUAAGGGUGAAACGGUGGUGUAAGAGACCACCAGCACCUCGGGUGACCGAGGUGGCUCGGUAAACCCCACCCGGAGCAAGGCCAAGAGGGCGCCGCGUGCGGCGCCUGCGCGGACGAUCGAGGGCUGCCCGCCCGAUGUCCGCGGGUAGGCCGCUGGAGCCUGUCGGCAACGGCAGGCCGAGAUGGAUGGCCGCCACCCGGCACCCCGCGAGGGGCGCCGGGAACAGGAUCCGGCUUACACGCCGACUCGUCUC